rnacentral:rRNA from 1 species
AUUGAACGCUGGCGGCAUGCUUUACACAUGCGAGUCGAACGGCAGCGCGGGCUUCGGCCUGGCGGCGAGUGGCGAACGGGUGAGUAAUACAUCGGAACGUGCCCAGUAGUGGGGGAUAGCACGGCGAAAGCCGGAUUAAUACCGCAUACGACCUGAGGGUGAAAGCGGGGGAUCUUCGGACCUCGCGCUAUUGGAGCGGCCGAUGGCAGAUUAGCUAGUUGGUGGGGUAAAGGCCUACCAAGGCGACGAUCUGUAGCUGGUCUGAGAGGACGACCAGCCACACUGGGACUGGGACACGGCCCAGACUCCUACGGGAGGCAGCAGUGGGGAAUUUUGGACAAUGGGCGAAAGCCUGAUCCAGCAAUGCCGCGUGUGUGAUGAAGGCCUUCGGGUUGUAAAGCACUUUUGGCGGGAACGAAAAGGACUGUGCCAAUACCACGGUUCGAUGACGGUACCCGCAGAAUAAGCACCGGCUAACUACGUG